UGAGGACCGCUCACCCUUGAAGGUGAGGCGAGACUGUCAUGAACAGCACACACCGGGGAGGCCCCGGAGCUGUGAUCAGCGAGCCCCAAGGGUGUUGGCUCCCGCAUGGGGAGGCCCCGGAGCUGUGACCAGGGAGGCCCCGGGGCUGUGAUCAGCGAGCCCCAAGGGUGUUGGCUCCCGCAUGGGGAGGCCCCGGAGCUGUGACCAGGGAGGCCCCGGGGCUGUGACCAGCGGGCCCCCGAGGGCAUCGGCGUCAGCCUGGGGCAGCGGUGUUAGUGGUCCCUGAGCAACGCAGCGGUGGCCCGUUUGCCUCCCGGCCAGUUCUCUAGCCACAAGAUCCAAAGUCUGUGUGGUCAGCUCCUGGGAGGCCCCCAGGCUUCCUUAAGCCUUUCCGUGUCUGAGGAGGACAGGAUCCCAUGGGCACAAGUCAAGGGAGAACUGAGCCCACCGAGAAAUCUGGAGAAGAACCUGCGAAGAAGCAGUUCGGGGAAAUGCGCUCGCUCUCGGCGCUCACUUUGGACGAAGCCAACACGUUUCACCUGGUCCCACCUGGGUGAAGUACAAGAAGGUCCCAGGACGGCCCCCAGAGGAGCCUGCCUGCCUCUUCUCGUCCGUCUGUCAGCUGCCCUGAGCCUCUCUGUGUCCUCAGGUGUGUGGCUGAUGGGGCCGCUGGGCUCUGAGCUGAGUGUGAUCCCCACAGAAAGAAGACGGUCCUCCGGAGGAGGGGGGGGACGUGCAGAGGAGCCCCAGGUCCAUACCCGGAUGGGGCCUGGUCCCUCAGGCCCUGCGGCGAUGUGUGCCCCCCUUUGUGAGGCGAGCAGGCUCGCAUCACGGAGGGACCAGCAAGGAAGCUUCCAGUUCUGCCCCGUCGACUGGGCUCUGCGGCUGCCGAAGGCUGACCGCACACCCACUUGCAAGCAGGGCCGGGCUCGGGGACGAGCGUAUGGAAGUCACCCUGGGAGCCGAAGGGGGCCCCAGCGCGUGCCUCUGUCCCGGGACGCACCCCUCCCCGACGGCUCAGGGGGCCGUGUGCGCUCUGACCAGCGGGGCCACCGCACUCAGACCUGGUGGACUUAGGAGGACGAGCAUCCCGCCCACCUGGGUUGUAUCGCUUGACGACACGCUUUUGUGCGCGAGGCCGGAGCACAUCCUGUGACACGUGGGCUGAGGGAGAGCUCGACGGCACCCCAUAGUGAGUGGGGGCGCUCCCCCGGAACACACCGAGCAGCCCGUGCUCUCCGAGACCCGAUGGACGGACGCCAAGGCCUCGGGGCAGAGCACGGAUCUCCUGGCACACAGACGGCUGGAUGCAGAGGGAGCGGUUUUCCCCAAGUUUGCAAAGCGGCAAAUGUAGCUCCCCGGUCCCGGGACACUGGACAUUUUCACGUCAAGUCAGUUCCGGUCCACUGGAUGCAAGCCUCGGGCGGAAUCGGGUGUGGCCUCACCCCCGGGGAACUGAAGGCUUUAAUGAUAAAACAAAACCUAUCACCAGUAUAAAAAGUUGUGCCCGGGCACUGAUUUAGAAUAUUUAAAAACUGUUCUGAUUUUAA